GGUAAAACAGCAGAGGGGAAGCAUUGAAUUGUAAAUUCAAAGACAGAGACUAGAUAUCUCUUUUUACCA
rnacentral:tRNA from 1 species